rnacentral:rRNA from 1 species
AACGAACGUUAGCGGCGCGCCUAACACAUGCAAGUCGAGCGAGAAAGGGCUUCGGCCCCGGUAAAGCGGCGCACGGGUGAGUCACACGUGGAUAACCUACCCCUUGGUGGUGGAUAACCUUCCGAAAGGAGGGCUAAUACAGCGUAAGACCACGACUUCGAAAGAGGUUGGGGUAAAAGUGGGCCUCUGUACACAAGCUCACGCCAGGGGGAUGGGUCCGCGGCCCAUCAGCUAGUUGGUAGGUAACGGCCUACCAAGGCGAAGACGGGUAGCUGGUCUGAGAGGAUGAUCAGCCACACUGGAACUGAGACACGGCCCAAACUCCUACGGGAGGCAGCAGUGGGGAAUAUUGGACAAUGGGGGCAACCCUGAUCCAGCCAUGCCGCGUGAGUGAUGAAGGCCCUAGGGUUGUAAAGCUCUUUUGUGCGGGAAGAUAAUGACGGUACCGCAAGAAUAAGCCCCGGCUAACUUCGUGCCAGCAGCCGCGGUAAU